CCAGUCGUGGUCAUAUUUAAUCGGGAAUAUAUCGGAUAUCAAAAUAUUGACAUUUUGGUGCUGAAAAGUGAGAGUAGUGGUGAAUGGGUUUAGCUAAAGUGCACUUUUGGUGCAAGUGAAUCACAUCCGACACGGAAAUGGUUCAGGAUGGGGCCCAGCAUGCAGAAACCUGAUAAGAUAGAUCUCGAAUAUAAAGGGUGCCCGAAAAAAGGUGACACUAUGCAGCUUUCGAUAAGUUUGGCUUUACAUUUUCCAUGGAAGAUCGGUUUUAGAUAUUGUUGACAUGUAUUUUAUUGCAACACGACAAAUUUCACACACAGAGAAAAAUAAAAAAGUCAACUUUAA